rnacentral:sRNA from 1 species
CUUGAUUAACGGCUGCCGAUGAUGGCACU